rnacentral:rRNA from 1 species
UAACGAAUCUUCCGCAAUGCACGAAAGUGUGACGGAGCGACGCCGCGUGGAGGAUGAAGGCCUUCGGGUUGUAAACUCCUGUCAUGCGAGAACAAAGCCUCACGGCCUGAUAGUAUCGCAAGAGGAAGAGACGGCUAACUCUGUGCCAGCAGCCGCGGUAAUACAGAGGUCUCAAGCGUUGUUCGGAAUCACUGGGCGUAAAGGGUGCGUAGGCGGCGGGGAAAGUCAGAUGUGAAAUCCGGAGGCUCA